CGACACGCAGCCCAGUGAAAAGUUGGAGGAUGGCCAGCGUGAGAGAGGAGUGAUUGAAAUGGUCAUGCUGACGUCCAGACUUCCAAGGGUAUCUCAAUCACCAUUGCCUCACGACUGCGUGGAGUCAUUUCCACUGGUGCAGAGCUCACAACGCAAUCGACUCCGCAAGAUGCAGGGAACCGAGAAUAGCUACAAGAAAGUUAUUGCCCCAAAUUAUCAGAAAUUAUAACAGACUGCCAAUCAAAAAGCCGUGUGGGACAACUGUGCAUUACCCUGGCCUAGGAGAUGGGGAGAGACAGCAGAGGCAGUAUUGCAAUCUACCAUCAAAUCAAGGAUGGAUAAUAAUGACCAAAUGGACACUGGAUAAAAACCUAGUCGCAUACCAGAACUCCGUCUUGGAUAGCUGCCUAAUGUACUGUAUCUGCCUCUGACAAGCACCCAAGUUCCUGUUCUUUUUUUCACUUUGGCGCCACUUGUUGAUGCCACUACUAUAUUUUUAAAAGAAUGGAAGCCCACAUCCUUUGUCUGAGAAUCAAUGUUAUCAGAAGAUAAGCAAGAAGAAAAUGGUUGUUGCCUUUUGACAUCUGACAAUGAGAAUCAUGCUAAAAUGGAGCAAACAGGAUACCAGCAAUGGUUUGGAGUGACCAGAAGGAGACGUUGGAGGGUGUUUGUCAAAAGCCAGGCUGUCAGAGCAGGAACGCCUUUCGCGAUGGUUUCACUAUAAAAGAUUGCCCCGGUCAUUCGGAGAUGUAUACUUUUUUAAAAAUAGGAGCGAUUACCAAGAAGGUCACUGAAAUUACUCACUUUUAUGGUGCCUCCUUUUGUUGCAGCACUUAGGUCUAUUAUGCAAAACCACAAUUGAUGAAAUGUAAAUGCCUGUGAGAUAAUUCACCAAAAGACACAAACCUGCAACUCAUCACUGAACUCAUUAUCAUUCCUAUUCAUGGGCAGUCUCACAAGACCAGACAUUAUUACCACUGCUCUGCUUACAAUCCUACUGGACACUAUUCUUUUUCUCUCCUCCCUCCCACAGAAGGAGAAGGAGGGGAAGAGAAGUAAAUAUGAUUUACUUCUGAUGUAAAUACAAAAGUUCAUGUAAAGCUAGUGUUUUGCUUUCAUGUCAGAUAUUAUUCUGCAGCCAUAGUUAAGCUUUGAAUAAUAUGGAUUGCCUCUAGGGUAAUAUUUGAAAGAGCAGGCAUUCAGUUUGUGUACUCUGCACAUGAAAGACACUGAAAUGUUCAUAUCACUAAAAUCCCUGCCAUCUACCCAAUUUCCUCCCAACUUGUCUUGUUGCGUGCAGAGGGUCUGUGCUUACUGAAGCAAACGAGUUUAGUGCAAGGACAAUCAUUCUGUUUCGCUCAGGGCUAUUGCAUUAACAAGUCAUAACAUUAAAGUCGUCUUCUUCUUCUUCUUUUGUUUUUUUUAA